rnacentral:SRP_RNA from 2 species
GCUGGGCGUGGUGGCGCAUGCUUGUAAUCCUAGCUACUCAGGAGGCUGAGGCAGGAGAAUUGCUUGAACCCGGGAGGAAGAGGUUGCAGUGAGCUGAGAUAGUGCCACUGCACUCCAGCCUGGGUGACAGAGUGAGACUCUGUCUCAG